UNGAAUAANAUUUUUUUUUNUGAUGACCGCUGGCGGCGUGUUUAACACAUGCAAGUCGAGCGAGGGAGCACCUUCGGGUGUGAACUAUCGGCGGACGGGUGAGUAACACGUGGGCAACCUGCCUUCCAGAGGGGGAUAGCCUUCCGAAAGGAAGAUUAAUACCGCAUAUUAUGAUUUUCCCGCAUGGGGCACUCAUGAAAGGAGCAUUCCGCUGUAAGAUGGGCCCGCCGCGCCUUGCCUUUGGUGAGGAAGGGUUCCCCCGGCGACAAUGCCUACCCUACCUUAUGGGUGAUCCUCCAAUUUGUUCUGAUACCCCCCCCCACCCCCCACGGGAGGACCGUGUUAAAUUCGUCACUCCUUUAACCCCCCCCCAUCACCCCCCGUCAUUCAUGCCGCCCUCGGUUCUAACCUCCUCCUCCGUCCCAUUAUUUUUUUCCUUACAGUCUUCCC
rnacentral:rRNA from 1 species